UCCUCUCCCACCCUUGGAACUAAGGGUCUUUAGAAAACAGGGUUCCCUUCUUCUUUCAGAGCCCAUUAGCCACACUCUCAGAUACCCUCUUCUGAUCAGCAUCUUCCCUUGAGACAAGGCACCCCCUUGCUCAGCUUAGAACUAAGCCCAGCUCCAGACCAGAACUUUGAAUCUGGUUCCUGUGUCUUUCCCACAAUAGGAAAUGCCACAGAAACACCCACUGGGGGAUGAUUAUGAGCAGCUGUGAUAUCACCCCAGGAUCAGGUUCUAGCAUCUAUUUAGGUCAUCCCUGCCAAGAGCUGACUUCAUGGGAAUACUCCAGACUCACUAAAGGGCCUCCCUGCCCCACAACCCUUGGGAAUAAUGCGGCUAGCUAACUUACUGACAGCCAGCCAUGGACCACGCAAAGCUGCUGGUGAAAGGGGGUCCCUAGCUUCUCAGUGUGUUUGAGCCAGCAGGAUCUGUCUUGACAUAGGCCCUCUCUGGCCUGGCUCAUGGUAUGGCCCCCUCCCCUGGUCGCCCCCAGCCGUCCCACGAAGGGUGUUAUGCGAAAUGUUUCCCAUGCAGGAAUUGGCUGAAUUCUCUCAACAUCCCUGUGAGGUAGAUUCUCUUACUGUCUCCGUUUUAUGCUGAGGGUCCUGAGGCUCAGAAAGGGGCAGACACACAUUUAAGGUCCCACAUUAGUGAGCAGUGGAGCUGGGAUUGAACCCAGGUCUGCCUGACUCCCCCGAUUGUCUGCUUGUUGCCCCUGAGCCCUCCUGCCUCUCCUGCCUCCACUUCCCUGGUAACCCCUGCAGCUGAGCAAAAGACUGGAAGCACAUCCCCAGCUGUCAAGGCUUAUGAGAGAAAUGGCUACCUGAGCCCUCAGCAGCAGAUGGGGGCGGGCUGAAGCCUCCUGCUCCCUGGGGGUCAGGUGGGCAGCACUGAUGCUCCUGUCCCUAAGUGUCCAUGUGUGUUUUCCCCAGGGAUCAGCCAGAGGAGGAGCGGGGGAAGCAGGAGUCCUCUCCUAGCCCAUCUUGGGAGGGCUAGGCGCAUGGCAUAGAGGGUGGCGCUUCAAGGAGGACAGUUAGGCGUAGUGCCUGGGAGUAGACUCAGCAGGCCCCUUGCAGGCAGCAGCUCUGAAGUCUGGGGGACCUCAGCAAAGGCAAGUUCAUACCAGGCAUUUGGGUCCAGGAGGAUGGGGACUUCAUGGUGCCACGUGGCACAGUCACAGACUUCCUGGUCCCUCCAAGUGGUUCUGGAAGCUGAAGGGAGGUCUCUAGUGACAGUGACAGGUCCUAGGGCUCUGUGCUCAGCUCGGUCUGUAACACAGAUGAGGACAAAUACAAGAAGCUGAUUGCAAUUACAGAUGAUAAGUUAGAAAGCAGAAUUAGCAAGUUCUCAGAAUUAGUCC
rnacentral:lncRNA from 10 species